rnacentral:rRNA from 1 species
AAAUUGAAGAGUUUGAUCAUGGCUCAGAUUGAACGCUGGCGGCAGGCCUAACACAUGCAAGUCGAACGGUAACAGGAAACAGCUUGCUGUUUCGCUGACGAGUGGCGGACGGGUGAGUAAUGUCUGGGAAACUGCCUGAUGGAGGGGGAUAACUACUGGAAACGGUAGCUAAUACCGCAUAACGUCGCAAGACCAAAGAGGGGGACCCUCGGGCCUCUUGCCAUCGGAUGUGCCCAGAUGGG